UGUUUAUAUUCGCACUUUUUUCUCUCAAAUGAUGCUUAAAAUUAUCUUGCAACUUGGGAAAAAAUGCAAUUUGAUUUCAUUUACACCAAAUUCAAUAGAUUUAUUAGGAGAGAAUACAUCUCUUUAAAAUUGAGUCUUCCUAUCCAACUGCAAGUUUUAACUGAGAUGUUACCAGUUUCAGAAGUGAGACCUUUUAGAUGCUUCGCUACCUGACAUAACUAUAUCAAUCCAAAUGCUUGUACUUGUUUAUCUUUUCUGUGGACUUUAUCUUCAAACAUGCUGCAUCUCCCAUAAACAAGGACCAAAGAGAUUUUGACUGCAGGUGGUCAACAUGUGGACAACAGGAUCAUAGAUACCUUCUGCAGUGGUUCCAUCCGCAGCGUCACCCGCAUGCUGCCAUUAACCCCCCCUUUGGGAAGCUUAUUGCGUCUGUCUUUCUCAAAGGGCACAACUUUUAGACAAGUGUCCUCAGGAAUAGAAGUGACCUGCUUUGUGGCAAGUAAUUGCCGGGAAUGUUAAGUAUUCCUCGGCGCUCUGAAUAUAUUGUGUGCUUUCCUCCAUUGUGUUGUUUACCUCAUUGCCUUUUAAUCCAUGUUUUACUCGACAAAUGGGAGUGAGAUGUGUGUGUGGUAAAUGUAAUUAUGUAAUUCCGUGGAUACACUGGUCAUGCCCCAAAUUAUAGCCAGGCUUUCUCUUAAGCUGAGAGUCUCCCAUGGGCCAUUUUGAUACCAGUUGUAAGAUUCUUUGUUUCUCAUUUGAAUCAUGAGCCCACAGUUGUUAGGUCCUAAACUAGAUCUUCUUAUACAUUUGUAUUCCCUGCAGUAGACCAUCAAUAGUUUCCUUUUUACUAAACCUAGUAGGUUUCAUUCUAGAAUACGAUCUGAUCUGACUCUAACUGUACUUGACCUCUUCUCCAAUGCCUUCGGAGGACUCGGAAAGCCAUCUUAACUCUGGGGGAAUUGGACUGUCUGAGAUACCGCCCUGGGGUCUGGAAUGUUGAGGACACUGAAGGAAGAAGAUAACCACAGAAGGAGAAAGCAGGCACCGACCGGUGAAAGGCUAGGACACGUUAUCAUACUUCAGGAAAGAGAGGGCAGGAGCAUGGUCCUCCACUUCAGGGAAAAAGAUGAGUAGCAACAUCAGGAUCCUUGGAAAUCCACGUCCCGCGCUCCGUGCCACAUCCAGGUCUCUGUGUUCAUCUUUUCAGUGGCUUACUGGAGAAUAGCUUCAUGAUGUGUCCCUUUUGUGGUGGAGUGGCCGUGCAUGGCUCACCAGGGGCCCAGAGAGGUGACCUUCCCUUUUCAUACUGGAGGUGCCGGGAGACUUGAGGAAAGUGUCACCAUGGAGUGCCCAUGCCCAUGGAUCACUCAGGAAGGUCAGAUGCAUUGGAAGCUUAUCGCUGGCUAAGAGCAGAAGCUCUUUCUCUCAUUCAAUGGUCAUCAGUUCCCGGAAGUCCCAGAAGAUGUGUGUCCCUCAGUGAGCACUCUGCCUGGGAUCACUUAGGAAGGUGGAGUGGCCAUGCACAGCUCACCAGGGGCCACAGACCAGCAACCUUCCCAUUUCCUAGAUGAGUUUAGGGGCAACGGAGACCUGAGAGAAUUCACCCUGAUGUGUACCAUUCCCAUGGAUGACUCAGGAAGUUCUGAGGUCAAGUGCAUUGCAAGCUUCUUUGUUGACUAAGAGAAGAAGCCCUUUCUCUCCUUGGCUGACUGGAAGUUUCCGGGAGUCCCAGAAAAAGUGUGUCCCUGAGUAAGCACCGAGCCUGGGAUCACA